CACACCUUGAAGUCAGAAAGGCUCCAACAUCUGAAACACAAGUGUCAGAUAAGUCAUGACCAUUGCCAAGUCUUGUCCAACAAGUUCUACCACAAACAUACAAGGAGCCAGAAAGAAUUCCCUCUAUUAGUUGACAGGAGCACGGUUCAACCUGCAGAACAAGGUGUGGUCAGGAAUGUCACCUGCUCUCUACAUAGCCAAAACUAAUCCUGCAGUGAAGAAGAGUAUCUGAAGGGAGCUGGCUGCGUCAGAUUGCUGCUCAGCUAUGCCAUCCCUGUGAAAAUGUUUACAGCCCUUUUUGCUGAUGUCCCUAUAGAUGAUCAGGAGAGUGGAACUUGGCUCUGCCAGGCUCUCCACUGCACACAGCAUAACCCAAAAGAAAUCCACCAUUGCCUUAUAAUCUUCACUAGUUCUCUGCCAUGAAAUUAUUCCUUUCUUCAGUAUUUGAUGUCUUUUUGUGCUAAGGUUGGACUAUAAGAUCCAACUGAUAGGCAGGAGCACAGGGGAA